AGGCCAGAGGCUAAGCCGAAACCGUCCGGGGAAGCGGGCGCGAGUUUUCCGACUUAGCCUUUGGUGC
rnacentral:pre_miRNA from 1 species